rnacentral:lncRNA from 10 species
UCUGGUUGAGCCUCAGUCAUUUGAGAGUAGAAAUCACAUCUUGUUCUUCUUUGUAUCUCCAAAGACAUUACGAUGUUAAAUUGAUGAUGAAGCAGUGAAGAAAUGAAUGCCUGAAUGAUGUCCUGGAAAGAAGUUUAUGCAUUCCAGGCUGUCAAAAAUAACGCCAUCAGGAUAAACAUUUUAAGUGACCCCUUUGACCAGCUCUGUGCAUUAUGGAUAAAGCAAUCAGAACAUAAAUUGUCAGUUUGGCUCAUCACAGUCCCUGAAGAGCUCAGUGAACACAGUGACCUGUUUUCCCAGUCAUCUCACAAUAAAAACUAAACUGUGCCAGCUUUUUUUAGGAACAUUCUAGAAAAAGUCAUGGUAUAACCUGCCAGCUCAGUUCCAGGAAAAAGUAUUGAGUGAAAUGUUAUGUGAAGACCGAAUGUCUAUUGCACGAUUCAAUACUGUGAUGGUAGGGAUGACCUUCUAAAUAUGGAUGAUGACUACAGCUCCACAUGUGCCCCUAGCAAUUCUCUAGCUGGAUUCUUGCCUCGGAUGUCUAAUACCGUCAUGCUUAGACUGUGAGCAUAUUCUACUGUUUUUCUUGUUAAUGUUUU